rnacentral:rRNA from 1 species
UGGCGGACGGGUGAGUAAUGUCUGGGAAACUGCCUGAUGGAGGGGGAUAACUACUGGAAACGGUAGCUAAUACCGCAUAACGUCGCAAGACCAAAGAGGGGGACCUUCGGGCCUCUUGCCAUCGGACGUGCCCAGAUGGGAUUAGCUAGUAGGUGGGGUAAAGGCUCACCUAGGCGACGAUCCCUAGCUGGUCUGAGAGGAUGACCAGCCACACUGGAACUGAGACACGGUCCAG